rnacentral:lncRNA from 1 species
GUCUGCCAGGCACGGUGGCUCGCGCCUAUAAUUCCAGCACUUUGGGAGGCCGAGGCAGGUGAAUCACGUGAGGUCAGGAGUUCGAGAACAGCCUGGCCACCAUGGUGAAAAAUAUCUGUACUAAAAAUACAAAAAAUUAGCUGGGCGUGGUGGCAGGUGCCUGUGGUCCCAGCUACUCGGGAGGCUGAGGCAGGAGAAUGGCGUGAACCCAGGAGGCGGAGCUUGCAGUGAGCUGAGAACAGGCCAUUGUACUCCAGCCUGGGCGACAGAGCAAGACCCCGACUCAAAAAAAAAAAAAAAAAUUGGCUGGGCGCGGUGGCUCACUUCUGUAAUCCUAGCACUUUGGGAGGCCGAGGCGGGCGGAUCACCUGAGGUCGGGAGUUCCAGACCAGUCUGACCAACAUGGAGAAUCCCCAUCUCUACUAAAAAUACAAAAUUAGCCAGGAAUGGUGGCGCACGCCUGUAGUCCCAGCUACUCAGGAGGCUGAGGUACCAGGAAUGGUGGCGCACGCCUGUAGUCCCAGCUACUCAGGAGGCUGAGGCAGGAGAAUCGCUUGAACAUGGGAGGCGAAGGUUGCAGUGAGCCGAGAUCGUGCCAUUGCAUUCCAGCCUGUGCAACAAAAGCGAAACUCUGUCUCAAAAAAAAAACAAAAAACAAAAAAAUUAGCUGGGCAUGGUGGCGGGUGCCUCUAAUCCCAGCUGAGGAAGGAAAAUUGCUUGAACCCGGGAAGCGGAGGUUGCAGUGACCCGAGAUGGCGCGACUGCACUCCAGUCUGGGCAACAAGAGCGAAACUCUUGUCUCAAAAAAAAAAAAGAAAAAAAAAAAAAAGGUUUUGGGCCUGUCAAACCUAAAUCAAAGGGUUCUGCCCCCUUCCUACUUUAGGAAAGUUUGAAAUCCAGUGUAAACUAGAUUUAAUACUGGUCUUCCUUAGAACUCCUCAUCAAAUCUAUGUAUGUAGGCAAGUGCUUAAAUCCAAGACAAUUUCAUCCUUCCUCAAUUAAAAGCUAUGUAUGUGAACACAUAUGUAAAGCUAAACAGUACAUAAUUCCUAAGACUUUACCAUCUUUCUUCAGUAUUUUAAAUCUUAGCCGGGCAUGGUGUCUCAUGCCUGUGAACCCAACACUUUGAAAGGCCGAGGCAGGAGGAUUGCUUGAGGCCAGGGGUUGGAGAUCAGCCUGGGCAACAUGGCAAACCUCCCCGCAAUCUCUCCAAAAAAAAAUUUAAAAAUUAGCUGGGCAUGGGUUAUGAUUGAGCCACUGUUCUCCAGCCUGGGCAACAAAGAGAGAUCCUGUCCCUAAAAAAUUAAAAAUUAAAAGUUUUUGGAGAGCUGGCCACCCUUACACUUACAUUUCUCUUUCCUGCCAUUCAUUCCUAUCAUCUUAUUUUUUAACAUCGGACUGUGUCAUCAUUCUUCAUAUUCCUAUUACAUCACUGCCUACUCCUGUUUCUUUCUAUUUGGACAAUUCUUAGUUAUUUACUGUUCCCAUCUCUUCAUCUACAUAUUCAGAACCUGAGCCUGGCGCGGGCCAGGAAAAGCUAUCUUUUAAAAUUAAAAUGGUAGUUUGGUGUUUUUUUGAGGGGUCACAUUUCAUGAAAAUGUUCUCAAACCCUAAGGAACAGUGUUGAGCCGGGACAGCGAAUAGGAUAAUUACAAAAUCUAAGAGAAAGCAUUACACAUCGUGCUUAAAAACGACUUUACGUUUAAAAGAUAACCUGUCUCACGUCUAUAAACCCCGUAUGCCAGCUAAAAUCUCUCACUGGCCCUUCUUCUAACGUAAGUCAUCGUUACACAGUUGACCUGCGAUGUACAUUAUUUCUAUGGCUUUUGCUAACUGGGCUGGUGGUGUUUGGUCAGAAAGCUUGAGGGUCCUAAGAGGAAAGGUUUAGGCGCUGGUUUUCUAAGGUUGCUUAAAUUAGAGAAAGUCGAGGGUUUAUCCUUCUAGCGGCAGUUACGGUGCUGGAUUUCGGGAACUCGAGGAGCCUUUAGGGGUCAGGCCGUCAGAGCCGUGGACCUUAAUUUCCCCAUCUCUAAAAUGGGGAAGGAGGCUGCUCUCUGAGGAAGGCAGGAAUACAGGAUCAUAACCCGCCGCCCAGCCAACGUGAGAGCAGCCAUCCAGUAAGAGCAAGGAGGCGGCGGGGCGGAGAGGAGCGAGAACAAGGCAGUUUGCAGGAAGUGCUUCAGGGUUGGGAGGGGAGACUGAGGGCGGAGGCGGGAAUGUGAAAGCUGAGCUCUAGCUGCGGAGUUUGUACCGAAGCUCAGGAAAGGCGGGUCGAAAAAACUGGGGUGAAGGGGUUAUUCAGUGGAUGGGCAAGACGGGCCGCCUCUCCCGAAGAGAGAGAGCUGGAUGCGGGGAAGGCUCUGAGGUGGCGGCUGAGGAACGUGGGGGAAAGGGGGAGGUGAACGCGCUCAGAAAAGGGGCGGGAAGCGCGCGCCCAGCACCUCUAGUCCGCAGACCCGGGUUUCUGACCGCGCGCUCAGCGUCGACGGUGCGGACGCUAGAACGGCAGCCGCGCGGCCCUCCUCGCCCCGCCGGGAUCUGAGAGGCCCGCAGCGUGUCCCUCGAAGUGGCGGGCGGGCUCCUGUCUCCUCGGCCGGGAGUUAGGAAGCCGAGGAAGGGAACACGUUGUUCUCUUUUGCUCUUUUCGUUCCCCUCCCCCACGAAGAAUAGGGCAGGAGGCCCUGGGCGUGUCGGAGCGAGUCCGCUCCGGGUUUUCCCGCCCACUUCAACUCUGUGAGCCCUUCGACCGCGCGGCGCUUCACUCCACCGGGCGCGCCCGAGCCCUCCGCCGGAACUCGUUCCGCCUCCCCCACACAUCCUUCUCCAGGAAUGGAAGUGGGCGCUCAGACCUAACUACCUGAGAUCCUGCUGGCUGGGCCGCUACCCCUUAUCUCUUCGGGGUUCCAACUCCGACAGCCCCUCGCAACUAGAAUUCCCCUCUAACAAGGAAGAAAAGGAAGAGAUCAUGCUGGAUCUCAUCUGAUAGAUUAUGAUUCUUCUGGCAUUUACGCUCCCUCUUAAAUAACAGUUCUACCCUGCUCUUAACCAGCCCAAGAUUGAG